UACGUAGGGGGCAAGCGUUGUCCGGAUUUAUUGGGCGUAAAGAGUUCGUAGGCGGCUUGUUAAGUCUGAUGUUAAAGCUCGGGGCUCAACCUCGGGACUGCAUUCGAUACUGCCGUGCUUGAGGACUGGAGAGGAGACUGGAAUUUACGGUGUAGCGGUGAAAUGCGUAGAUAUCGUAAGGAAGACCAGUGGCGAAGGCGGGUCUCUGGACAGUUCCUGACGCUGAGGCACGAAGGCCAGGGGAGCAAACGGG
rnacentral:rRNA from 1 species